AUUGAACGCUGGCGGCAGGCCUAACUCAUGCAAGUCGAGCGGAGCGGCGGACGGGCGAGUAAUGCCUAGGACUCUGUCUGGUAGAGGGGGAUAACGUCCGGAAACGGGCGCUAAUACCGCAUACUAUCAGAUGAGCCUAGUUCGGUUUAGCUAGCUGGUGGGGUAAGGGCCUACCAAGGCGACGAUCCGUAACUGGGCUGAGAGGAUGAGCAGUCACACUGGGACUGAGACACGGUCCAGACUCCUACGGGAGGCAGCAGUGGGGAAUAUUGGACAAUGGGCGAAAGCCUGAUCCAGCCAUGCCGCGUGUGUGAAGAAGGUCUUCGGGUUGUAAAGCACUUUAAGUUGGGAGGCGUUACCAACAGAAGAAGCACCGGCUAACUACGUGCCAGCAGCCGCGGUAAUUC
rnacentral:rRNA from 1 species